rnacentral:tRNA from 1 species
GAGCGCAACCUUGCCAAGGUUGAGGUCGCGGGUUCGAACCCCGCCCCCGGCA